rnacentral:misc_RNA from 1 species
GUAGGUGAACCUGCGGAAGGAUCAUUAUUGAAUACUCUUGAUGGGUUGUAGCUGGCUCUUCGGGGCAUGUGCACGCCUGUCUUGACUUUAUUCAUCCACCUGUGCACCUUUUGUAGUCUUGGAGGUUGAGAGCAGUCGACUAUCGGAUACUUUCCGGAUGUGACGAAUUGCUGGGUGCGAAAGCAUACAGCUCUUCUCAAAUGACUUGCAACACUUCUCCUUCAAGUACUAUGUAUUCAUAUACCACAUAGUAUGUUGUAGAAUGUGAUCAAUGGGCUUAUAUGCCUAUAAUAAUCAUAUACAACUUUCAGCAACGGAUCUCUUGGCUCUC